UGAGCAAGGGAGAAGACAUGG
rnacentral:miRNA from 1 species